rnacentral:rRNA from 1 species
ACGCUCGACACCUACGGAGGGCAGCAGUGGGGAAUAUUGCACAAUGGGGGAAACCCUGAUGCAGCGACGCCGCGUGGAGGAAGAAGGUCUUCGGAUUGUAAACUCCUGUUGUUGGGGAAAAAGAGGAUGGUACCCAACAAGGAAGUGACGGCUAACUACGUGCCAGCAGCCGACGGUAAUCUGAGGCCGGGCGUGGACGAAGGC